UCGAGAAUUUUUCACAAUGGGGGAAACCCUGAUGGAGCGACGCCGCGUGGGGGAUGAAGGGCUUCGGUCCGUAAACCCCUGUCAUUUGCGAACAAACCUUGUUCAAUAACACUGGACAAGCUGAUUGUAGCGGAAGAGGAAGGGACGGCUAACUCUGUGCCAGCAGCCGCGGUAAUACAGAGGUCCCGAGCGUUGUUCGGAUUCACUGGGCGUAAAGGGUGCGUAGGUGGUUGGGCAAGUCUGAUGUGAAAUCUCCGGGCUUAACCCGGAAAUGGCAUUGGAAACUGCCUGGCUAGAGUGUUGGAGGGGGGACUGGAAUUCUCGGUGUAGCAGUGAAAUGCGUAGAUAUCGAGAGGAACACCAGUGGCGAAGGCGAGUCCCUGGACAACGACUGACACUGAGGCACGAAAGCUAGGGGAGCAAACAGGAUUAGAUACCCCCGUAGUCC
rnacentral:rRNA from 1 species